rnacentral:rRNA from 1 species
CCUACGGGCGGCAGCAGUGAGGAAUAUUGGUCAAUGGGCUUACGCCUGAACCAGCCAAGUCGCGUGAGGGAAGACUGCCCUAUGGGUUGUAAACCUCUUUUGUUAGGGAGCAAUUGGCGCUACGUGUAGCGUUAUCUAGAGUACCUGAAGAAAAAGCAUCGGCUAACUCCGUGCCAGCAGCCGCGGUAAGACGGAGGAUGCGAGCGUUAUCCGGAUUGAUUGGGUUUAAAGGGUACGUAGGCGGAAUGCCAAGUCAGCGGUAAAAUCGCGGGGCUCAACCUCGCUCCGCCGUUGACACUGGCGUUCUUGAGUGGGCGAGAAGUAUGUGGAAUGCGUGGUGUAGCGGUGAAAUGCAUAGAUAUCACGCAGAACUCCGAUUGCGAAGGCAGCAUACCGGCGCCCAACUGACGCUGAAGCACGAAAGCGUGGGUAUCGAACAGGAUUAGAUACCCCAGUAGUC